rnacentral:rRNA from 1 species
UACGGAGGGGGCUAGCGUUGUUCGGAAUUACUGGGCGUAAAGCGCGCGUAGGCGGACCUGCAAGUCGGGGGUGAAAGCCCGAGGCUCAACCUCGGAACUGCCUUCGAUACUGCGGGUCUCGAGUCCGGGAGAGGUGAGUGGAAUUCCUAGUGUAGAGGUGAAAUUCGUAGAUAUUAGGAAGAGCACCAGUGGCGAAGGCGGCUCACUGGCUCGGUACUGACGCUGAGGCGCGAAAGCGUGGGGAGCAAACAGG